CGCCGGCGCCUUUGCAUCAACGUGAGAACUUGUUGCUCCGACACACAUGAUUUGUCUGAACCAGGAUGUGGGUUCAAAACCCGUCUCACACUAAGACAAACGUCUCUGAAUCUGAAGACUAACGUUGACCGGAGCUCAUCAGGGAUUUACCGUAAACGGAAAACAUCGGAUGUCACCUCGGACGGUUUCAUCAGACUAUUAUCACGAAGACAGAUUCCGAUCCAUGUUUCCUGCUCAUUCUAACAGUUAGACAAUUUAAGAUCUGAAAGAAGUUUUAAUUUUGAUUAGUUAAAUCCACAAAUAAAAGCUCUAGAUCUGUUCAUUCCUUCAAAUUAAAGCAAAACAAAAAAAGAGAAAAAGACAGGAAGGAUUCAGGUGGAGACGAGACCUCAGCAGGAAGCAGAAAUAAUUCCUGAACCUUUAAAAACACAGAAACACUCUUAAAAAGUCUAAAUAUUCACAAACUUAGUUUGGAGCAGAGAAAUCCUGAUAAAUUUACCACAUUUCCAACCAUUCUUCACUUCUUUCAAUGAAAAUACUGACUUGUUGAAAAUAUGGUCAACAGCGUAGACUUUGUGGUUUUCAGGCUCCUCCACAAAGUUCCUGUUCAUGAAGCCAAACCAAAAGCAGCCGGAGCAAAUAUGCUUUUAGGAAAUCUUAAGCAACGCUGGGAAUCGAACCAUCAACCCUUUGAUACAAAGAUUCAUCUCAUAACUCUUGAACUGGAGAAAAGCAGCUUUUCUGAUGCGCACCACACAGUGAUGUGUUUCUACGGUCAGAGUUAAUCCUCUGGUUCUGUUGUGUAGAACUUUAGUAAAUUGUCUCAAAGCUGCUACUUUCUGCAGCAAUAUAUGUCAGAAUGACUGUAAAUGUGUAAGCAGGUAAAGUGACAGUAUUUCAGAGCGUUAUUCAGGUGAUGCCAGCGACAUCUCCGUGUUAAAGGGUUAGACACCAAGUUAUACCGAUAAUUUAAUGAUGAUCAUUUGGGAGCUUAAACUCUUGUGAGGUCGGCCCAGAAUCGACAGUAUUGAUUCAUUUUAACAACCGAUUACAUCAUAUUUGUAGUUACUGAGUCAAUAUCGGUUCAUUCUGAUCGAUCCGAUUGAAUCCACUUCUCUGACAUAAAUGGAUCAGAACAUCUUGAUCCAAACUUCUUCAGAGUGACUCGGACACAAACACCUGCUACUGAACAGAGCAGGUGAAGUUUUCCAGAUGUUUCUUCAAGAUAAUCAAUGAAAUUGUGUCCAAACAAGUGAACAAGAAUGAAUGUCAGAUCCAUUCACAUUUCAGUUUGAUCAAGUUCACUCCACUGUUGUUUUUCCUCAUCAGAAUAAUCAUUAUUAGAAAUAAAACGACCAUGAAUCAAUCCAUCGAUUAUCAGUUUAUUUCUUUUGGAAAUGAUGGUAUACCAGUCUAGGUAUCUCAGUAUCAGCUCGCCUCCGACAGAUGGAUCUGGUUUGAUCAUUGGAAUAGAAACUGAUUGAUUGAUUAAUCGUUGCCGCCCUAAAAAGCACCAAAGACCUUCAGCUUCAGUGUUCCGACAUUUGAACUGAUGCUCAUCCUGCUGGUCGUACGAUCCUCCGACAUGUUUUUACUUUUAAAAUGUUUAUGUAUUUUCAUCAUGGGAACAAAACGCUGGUCCAAGGAAAAACUGGAAAAUCUAGUAUGACUCAUUCUACGUUCACACCGGCCUUAGCACCGUGUGUCAAGGCGGGACUUUAAACAAAAACACGUUUGAAUUUCAGGCUUCAAACUUUUACAGUCACGCUUCACUUCAUCAAGUCCGGUUUGAGGUUCUGCGUACAGAACGCUUGUCAAAGUUAAACCAGGGUCAACUUUGACCAAUCAGAGACUCCGAUGUGGUAGAGAUGUUUGGGUCACACAAGUGCCGACCGCUUGAAAAUAGAUCAUGGAGAGGAAUUAAUACCGGCGUUUGAGACCAGCUGGAAUUCUACGACUCCGAGUCUUUCACUGAUCAGAAUCGAGCUGUGAGAGAGGAAGUCUGGAACGAGAUUCAGCAGAUUCCCUCGUUUGACAUUUGACACCAAAGCUCUUCCAGCGGUUAGUAUCAGGGAUUUGGACUUCAGGGCCACCGUAGAGACGUCUGUCUGUCGUUCCACAUCAUUAAAAAGACUUUAAGCUCCGCCUCCUCUGGAACUUUUCAAUGUGACACAUUUUGGAUAAAGUUAAAACAGGUUUUGUAACAGACGCUCCUGUGGAGGAACAGGACGGAUCUUUUCCUCCUUAAAGCUCAAGUCUCGAUCUGCUGUGGUUUUCUGGAGGGACCGACGUCUCCGAGCUGCACGCCGACGCCGGC